rnacentral:rRNA from 1 species
GAUGAACGCUGGCGGCGUGCCUAAUACAUGCAAGUCGAGCGAACAGACGAGGAGCUUGCUCCUCUGACGUUAGCGGCGGACGGGUGAUUCACACGUGGAUAACCUACCUAUAAGACUGGGAUAACUUCGGGAAACCGGAGCUAAUACCGGAUAAUAUAUUGAACCGCAUGGUUCAAUAGUGAAAGACGGUUUUGCUGUCACUUAUACAUGGAUCCGCGCCGCAUUAGUUAGUUGGUAAGGUAACGGCUUACCAAGGCAACGAUGCGUAGACGACCUGAGAGGGUGAUCGGCCACACAGGAACUGAGACACGGUCCAGACUCCUACGGGAGGCAGAAGUAGGGAAUCUUCCGCAAUGGGCGAAAGCCUGACGGAGCAACACGGCGUGAGUGAUGAAGGUCUUCGGAUCGUAAAGCUCUGUUAGUAGGGAAGAACAAAUGUGUAGGUAACUAUGCACGUCUUGACGGUACCUAAACAGAAAGCCACGGCUAACUACGUG